CGCGUAGGCGGACCAUCAAGUCGGAUGUGAAACCCGGCGGCUUAACUGCCGGCCUGCAUACGAUACUGUUGGUCUUGAGUACAUGAGAGGAAAGCGGAAUUCCAGGUGUAGCGGUGAAAUGCGUAGAUAUCUGGAAGAACACCAGUAGCGAAGGCGGCUUUCUGGCGUGAUACUGACGCUCAAGCGCGAAGGCUAGGGGAGCAAACAGGAUUAGAUACCCUGGUAGUC
rnacentral:rRNA from 1 species